GGGCGAUUGGCUCAGUGGUAGAGCGCCCGCUUUGCAUUAUCUCAUAUGUCUGCGGGAGGCCCAGGGUUCAAUCCCCUGAUCGUCCA
rfam:Colletotrichum incanum strain MAFF 238704 contig2365, whole genome shotgun sequence.